UUCUGGGUAUGUAUGAUUUUGGCUUGCCGCGCUUCUAUUCAGCUUGCUUUCUGUUAUUCCGAGCAAUUCUUCUAUAGAUUUCCACCUUGAAAAAAGUCUGAACCACUAAAUGUGGUGUGGCAUUAGAUAUCUGUUUAAAUGAAGAAAUUUAUAGUUCGAGAGAGAGCAUAAACAUAAUUUUCUGUGGGGAGGCCCAAAUUCAAUUGUAGAAAACCACUAAAAUGUUUGCCGGAGAAUCCAUCAGAAGGUUUAUCAAUUCUGGAUUUAGCUAUGCCAUCAAAAGGAAAUAUCUAGUUUGGUGCUCUGGUCUUGCUCAGAAUGAAUAUCUCUCAUUGCUGAGAACCACUUCUUGUACUCCGUCUCUUAACUACAUCACCGCUGUGCACCUCAGAAGUUAUGAUUAUGUGCCCGCAAUUUCUUUUAUAGAGGCAUCAAGUGUAUCUUCUCCUAGUAAUUUUUUGUGCGGAAAAUGCGUAUACAAAAGAUACAUGAGCAGUGCUUCAAUUGAGCUGAAGACAGACAGUGAUGUUGUCAGGUUUUCUAUUAGUAAAUGCCCUUACAAGAUUCCUUCUUCAGAAAAGGGAAAGAAGCCUACCAAACACGUUAAAAUGUCAAAAAAAGCCAAACUGAAUGAGCUGAGGUUUUAUCGUCUCAAGGCCAAAAAGAAGAUGAAUUCCCCCAAUCCAGAAGUUAGGAUUAGAUAUAAACUUGAAAAGGCCAAAAGAAAGGAAGCAUGGUUGAUUGAGAAGUUGAGUAAAUUUGAGGUCCCUAAAUUACGAGCUGAAACAUGUGAUCCUGAAAUGUUAACUGAGGAAGAGAAGCAUUAUCUCAAGCGCACUGGGGAGAAGAAGAAGAAUUUUAUUCUAGUUGGAAGGCGAGGGGUAUUUGGAGGUGUUGUUCUAAAUAUGCAUCUGCAUUGGAAGAAGCAUGAAACAGUCAAGAUUAUUUGCAAACCUUGCAAGCCAGGGCAAAUUCAUCAAUAUGCUGAAGAGCUUGCUCGACUGAGCAAAGGCAUUGUAAUUGACAUAAGACCUAAUAAUAGUAUCAUAUUCUACAGGGGAAAGAACUACGUGCAGCCAACAGUUAUGUCCCCUCCAGAUACCUUAUCUAAAAACAAGGCCCUUGAAAAGUAUAAAUAUGAACAGUCCCUUGAGCAUACAAGUCAGUUCAUUGAAAAAUUGGAGAAAGAGCUUGAAGAAUAUCUUGAACAUGUAGCCCGUUACAAGAAAGGAAAAGAGGGUUUACCACAAAUCACUAUUGCUGAAGCAUGAUGGUAUCAAUCCAAUAAUUGUUUGGAAACAAUCUACAAAAUACGUUUGUGAACCCAAGGAAAUGAAAGUCAAAAUCAACCCCAUGGUUAGCUAGUUUCUGUAUCAGAAAGACGACAUGUGGCCUCUUCAGAAGAGAUGAUACCGUCUUCAAUGUAGUUUGAUGAAAUGGAUUACGAAUGGUAAAGCUUUCUUUGUAAGGAAUGCUGGUAGGCUCUGUGCAGAUGCGCUUGAUUGCAGAAUUUGUAAAUUUCCUCGGCGGGUUUGCGUACUUCUAUAAUUGUCACUUGCACUAAAAACAGAUAAGUCGAGAGUUUUAGAGAUUUUAAGACAAAACCCGAAUCGAAUCAAUGGUGUUCUAUUGCAGGGUAUUUCUCAUUGCUGAAAACGAAACAUUCUUCGACUGUUGGACUACAAAUUCUGCAAGAAUACUAGGUGCCUGUAAUAGUCAAUUUAUUUAGGUUUAAUUUCUAUAAUAAUUUUAGAUACUCCAUAUAUAAUAUAUAUUAUCACCCGAAUCUCAUUUAUUGGUC